rnacentral:tRNA from 1 species
CGCGGGGUGGAGCAAUCCGGCAGCUCGGCUGGCUCAUAACCAGCAGGUUGGGGGUUCAAAUCCCUCCCCCGCAA